rnacentral:rRNA from 1 species
GAUGAACGCUGACAGAAUGCUUAACACAUGCAAGUCAACUUGAACUUCGGUUUGGGUGGCGGACGGGUGAGUAACGCGUAAAGAACUUGCCUCACAGCUAGGGACAACAUUUGGAAACGAAUGCUAAUACCUGAUAUUAUGAUUAUAUGGCAUCGUAUAAUUAUGAAAGCUAUAUGCGCUGUGAGAGAGCUUUGCGUCCCAUUAGCUAGUUGGAGAGGUAACGGCUCACCAAGGCGAUGAUGGGUAGCCGGCCUGAGAGGGUGAUCGGCCACAAGGGGACUGAGACACGGCCCUUACUCCUACGGGAGGCAGCAGUGGGGAAUAUUGGACAAUGGACCGAGAGUCUGAUCCAGCAAUUCUGUGUGCACGAUGAAGUUUUUCGGAAUGUAAAGUGCUUUCAGUUGGGAAGAAAAAAAUGACGGUACCAACAGAAGAAGUGACGGCUAAAUACGUGCCAGCAGCCGCGGUAAUACGUAUGUCACGAGCGUUAUCCGGAUUUAUUGGGCGUAAAGCGCGUCUAGGUGGUUAUGUAAGUCUGAUGUGAAAAUGCAGGGCUCAACUCUGUAUUGCGUUGGAAACCGUAUAACUAGAGUACUGGAGAGGUAAGCGGAACUACAAGUGUAGAGGUGAAAUUCUUAGAUAUUUGUAGGAAUGCCUAUGGGGGAAGCCUGCUUUACUGGAUUGAUACUGGCUCUUGAAUCGCGAAUGUGUGGUGUGCGACAUGGAUUAUAUACCCUGGUAGGCCCAGGGCGAAUUCUGCGGUGGAUGUGAGUGUAUCUAUGCUGUCGACCUGCGUGGGGGAACAAAAAAAACAAAAUUAUAUUCCUUUAGUGGGGUUGUAUUUGCUGUUGUUGCUGUAUGCUGUAAUGAUGUCUUUUGCUUGUUGUGUGUUGUGUUGUUGUCUUGUGUUGUGGUGUAUUGUGUGCUGCUGUGUUAUGCUGUGUCUGUUGUAGUGUGUGUGUUGUGUGUUGUGUUGUGUGUGUGUGUGUGUGCUUUGUGGUUAUGUGUUGUGUGUUUUAUUCUUGCUAUAGUAG